GCUCCAGUGGCGCAAUCGGUUAGCUCGUGGUACUUAUAAUGCCGAGGUUGUGAGUUCGAGCCUCACCUGAAGCA
rnacentral:tRNA from 1 species